UUUGCCGAAGCUCUUGAACUUGAAAAUCGCGCGCCUUGUCAUAGCAGUUGCGGAAAUUGUCAGCUCAGCACAAGCCGUUUUGGUUGUCGUUUAUUCGCUCAAGUCGCCGCCCGCCGCAGUGCUUAGCAAAAUUGCAUUUCUUACUUAUUUAAUCGUGCAAAUUUCGCUUGAGCCUGGGAGUAAUUUUUGAACUGUGAAGUAUCUAUAUUUAAAAAAAAA